AUGCCUGCAGGGAUGGGGCAUCCACAGCCUCCUUGGGCAACCUGUUCCAGUGCCUCACCACCCUCUGGCUGAAGGAGAUAAGCAUCCUUCUUUCCCCCUGAGCAUCUCUUCCUCCCUCCAACCACCCCUCCCACCCCAACAAGCAGCCUCCAUCCCCCUGUGGCAAAAUGUCAUCUCUUCAUCCCCAUUCUUCCAAGCUCAUUUACGCGUCCCCCAACCCCAAGACCCUCAAGGGCGCUUUGUGCUUAAGGACAGAGAGCACAAAUGAUUUGAGAGAAGCCCUGCUGACAGUGGGAACAGAGGAUGAGUUCCCUGCAUGCAACAUCCCGAGGGCACUGGGAAAGCCCCCAAACCCGCCUGCAAAGGCAAACCAGCCUAGGAGCGGCUGCCUCGCCACAAAUGAAAAAUAAGAGCAAAGUUAACUUCUGUCUGAUCCCAUUUUCCUGCAGCCAAGCAGAUGGUUUGCUUCUCUUGGCAGAGGCAGCGCCUUAUCUGAUCGCAGCGCUGGAACGGGGGAGAGCAGAGGGCUUUGAAGGCAGCGCGGGAGCCGGCAGAGGUAAAGUGCUAAAAAUUAAACGUUACCGAAGCGACACGGGACUACUGGAACUGAGCCCACGGAGAGCUGAGCACAGCAGCAGAAAUGAAGAUUCAGAUUCCAAAAACUACCCUCCCUUUGAAGCAAGAAGUUAGUACGUGUAUUUCUAAAUCCACCGUGAGUCCCAGAGCAACC